UUUAAUUAAGACAACUUCACAUUAACAACCAUCAAAAUAAUCAGUGUUGUAAAAAUCGGCCUAGGCGGCCGAUUAAUCGACGCCUAGGCGCUAGGCGGACUGCAACCGACUACGUUUAUGUGUAAUCGCUCAAGGUAAUCGGGGUUGGUCAACGCCGGUCAAACUCGGAGCUAAUCGAGUCUAAUCGGUCUAGGCGGUUUAAUUGAUCAACUUUGGUCAACGGAUUUUCAAAAAAAAAUAGGGGCAAAAUUGUCAAAAUUGAAAAGUUUUGCUAGGGUUCGUUCUCACUUCUCAUUCAAUCAUCCCCCUGUGAAAACGUUUUCUGUGAUUUCUCACUUUUUCUCUCGACUCAAAACCGAAAUCAGAGAGCUUGAAGCUCACCCUCGUCCUCGCCAUCACCUCUUGAAGCUGGAAUCCAUGAAAUCCGAGCGCACCCUUCCGUUUCUCCUCCACCUUCGUCGCUGUUAGAGCCUCAUUUUUCUUCCGACAGCAACAUCGGUCUUUAUCAUCUACACGGUUAGUUCUUCAAACUUCGACUUUACUGAUUAACCUCUAUUAAUAUCGUGAAGAACUGAAGGACUCGUCCUCAACUGAUUUGUGAAGAACCGAAGGACUCGCCCUAGCCAUCAUCGGAAUCUGUGAACUUCGCCCUCACCAUCGCCGAAAUCUGUGAACUCUGCCGAAUCUACACAGAAGCUCAAGUAGUCAAUCAUCUCUUCCUGAUUAAGAUCAAGCAGGCCCUUCAUAGUUCCAAACAGUUACAAAUUCAUGGAAAUCAAGAUUUAAUUCUAUUUCAAUGAGGUUAGGAUUUCCUAAAAAUGGCAUAAUUUUGGACAAAGUCACUAAUUCCUUCAUAGUUCGAAACUAAUAUCUUCAACUCGGCUAAUCAAUCAAAGAUUUCAGUGGUUGUCUGCAAAAGUUGUCAUGUACCCGUAUCCAAAUAUGUCGUGUAGAGGGAGCAAAUUACCAUUUGGUCCUUAAUAAACAGUAAUGGUGGGAGGGGUGGAGAUGGAUUAAACACGUGGUUUAAUAUUUCACAACUUUAUUUUUCUAUCUGCUUGUGAAAAAAAACCUUCAUAUAGAAACAUAGAUUUGGUAUGGAUAGCAUACAUUAUUAGUUAUUACUAGAUUGUUUGGAGGAUUUGUGUUGAAUUAUUUGGUAUACCAUUAUUAUGGAGAGAGCUUGAUAUUGGGUUAAUCACAAGAAUGACCAUAGUGCUCGAUCUCAUUCCUGAUUGAAGAACAGUCUCAUUCUAAACCUAUUAUGCUUAUUUUGGAUGAUAAAUGGUUGUGCUUGGUAAACUUAUUAAGUUAUUAUUGAAAUUUUAUGCUUAUUUACUUAUAUUCUUAGUAUUAAAGUUAGAUUUAUAAAAUUUGAAUUAU